rnacentral:misc_RNA from 1 species
GACUAAUCCACUAACUACUUAAAUCCUUACUCAUAAAAGGAGUUUGUGUAUAAGGAACAUUGUUCAUGCUCAAAACCAUUAAUGAUCAAUUUAUUUAUUCAGCAACUCAAGUAGAUAGAUUAGAACAGUAAAUUUAUUUCCCAGUUUUUUAUAUUGCAACUUCAAAGGCUAUUCAAAUGGUCAACAAAAGGGUAUUUAGCAAGUACCAAAAUAGCAAACAAUAUCCAAAUAAGCAAAUUUACUUAAAGAAAUUAACAUUGGGAAAUGACUGUUCAUUGGGGCCUCAAAAAUGACACAUGGAAAUCAUUUUAAAUUGGUUGCUAGUACACAUUCAAUAUACAGGGUCAUUUCUCUUUUAUCAUAUUAACAUUUCUGAACAAUCACAAAAUAUAUUGAAUGGGUUGAUAAGAUCAGAACAAAAUACUGUAGUCUUUACCUCUACUACUAGUUCAAGAAACACAAUAACCCACACAAACAUGAAAACUAAAGCCUAG